UACGUAGGGUGCGAGCGUUGUCCGGAAUUACUGGGCGUAAAGAGCUCGUAGGUGGUUUGUCGCGUUGUUCGUGAAAACCGGGGGCUUAACCCUCGGCGUGCGAGCGAUACGGGCAGACUUGAGUACUGCAGGGGAGACUGGAAUUCCUGGUGUAGCGGUGGAAUGCGCAGAUAUCAGGAGGAACACCGGUGGCGAAGGCGGGUCUCUGGGCCGAUACUGACGCUGAGGAGCGAAAGCGUGGGGAGCGAACAGG
rnacentral:rRNA from 1 species